rnacentral:rRNA from 1 species
CUCCUACGGGAGGCAGCAGUGGGGAAUAUUGCACAAUGGGGGAAACCCUGAUGCAGCGACGCCGCGUGAGUGAAGAAGUAUUUCGGUAUGUAAAGCUCUAUCAGCAGGGAAGAAAAUGACGGUACCUGACUAAGAAGCCCCGGCUAACUACGUGCCAGCAGCCGCGGUAAUACGUAGGGGGCAAGCGUUAUCCGGAUUUACUGGGUGUAAAGGGAGUGUAGGUGGUCUGGCAAGUCAGAUGUGAAAACCCGGGGCUUAACUUCGGGAUUGCAUUUGAAACUGUUAGACUAGAGUGCAGGAGAGGUAAGUGGAAUUCCUAGUGUAGCGGUGAAAUGCGUAGAUAUUAGGAGGAACACCAGUGGCGAAGGCGGCUUACUGGACUGUAACUGACACUGAGGCUCGAAAGCGUGGGGAGCAAACAGGAUUAGAUACCCUGGUAGUCCACGCCGUAAACGAUGAUUGCUAGGUGUAGGUGGGUAUGGACCCAUCGGUGCCGCAGCUNACGCAAUAAGC